rnacentral:rRNA from 1 species
GACGAACGCUGGCGGCGUGCUUAACACAUGCAAGUCGAACGGAAAGGCCCUGCUUUUGUGGGGUGCUCGAGUGGCGAACGGGUGAGUAACACGUGAGUAACCUGCCCUUGACUUUGGGAUAACUUCAGGAAACUGGGGCUAAUACCGGAUAGGAGCUCCUGCUGCAUGGUGGGGGUUGGAAAGUUUCGGCGGUUGGGGAUGGACUCGCGGCUUAUCAGCUUGUUGGUGGGGUAGUGGCUUACCAAGGCUUUGACGGGUAGCCGGCGUGAGAGGGUGACCGGGCACAUUGGGACUGCGAUACGGCCCAGACUCCUACGGGAGGCAGCAGUGGGGAAUAUUGCACAAUGGGCGGAAGCCUGAUGCAGCAACGCCGCGUGCGGGAUGACGGCCUUCGGGUUGUAAACCGCUUUCGCCUGUGACGAAGCGUGAGUGACGGUAAUGGGUAAAGAAGCACCGGCUAACUACGUG